UAUACGGCGAAACUGCGAAUGGCUCAUUAUAUAAGUUAUCGUUUAUUUGAUAGCACCUUACUACUUGGAUAACCGUGGUAAUUCUAGAGCUAAUACAUGCUGAAAACCCCGACCUCUGGGAGGGGUGUAUUUAUUAGAUUAAAAACCAAUGCCCUCUGGGCUCUCUGGUGAUUCAUGAUAACUCGUCGAAUCGCACGGCCUUGCGCCGGCGAUGGUUCAUUCAAAUUUCUUCCCUAUCAGCUUUCGAUGUUUGGGUAGUGGCCAAACAUGGCUGCAACGGGUAACGGAGGGUUAGGGCUCGACCCCGGAGAAGGAGCCUGAGAAACGGCUACUACAUCCAAGGAAGGCAGCAGGCGCGCAAAUUACCCAAUCCCGACACGGGGAGGUAGUGACAAUAAAUACUGAUACAGGGCUCUUUUGGGUCUUGUAAUUGGAAUGAGUACAAUUUAAAUCCCUUAACGAGGAACAAUUGGAGGGCAAGUCUGGUGCCAGCAGCCGCGGUAAUUCCAGCUCCAAUAGCGUAUAUUAAAGUUGUUGUGGUUAAAAAGCUCGUAGUUGAACCUUGGGCCUGGCUGGCCGGUCCGCCUCACCGCGUGCACUGGUCCGGCCGGGCCUUUCCCUCCGCGGAACCCCAUGCCCUUCACUGGGCGUGGCGGGGAAACGGGACUUUUACUUUGAAAAAAUUAGAGUGCUCCAGGCAGGCCUAUGCUCGAAUACAUUAGCAUGGAAUAAUGAAAUAGGACGCGCGGUUCUAUUUUGUUGGUUUCUAGGACCGCCGUAAUGAUUAAUAGGGACAGUCGGGGGCAUCAGUAUUCAAUUGUCAGAGGUGAAAUUCUUGGAUCAAUUGAAGACUAACUACUGCGAAAGCAUUUGCCAAGGAUGUUUUCAUUAAUCAGGAACGAAAGUUAGGGGAUCGAAGACGAUCAGAUACCGUCGUAGUCUUAACCAUAAACUAUGCCGACUAGGGAUCGGACGAUGUUAUUACUUGACUCGUUCGGCACCUUACGAGAAAUCAAAGUGCUUGGGCUCCA
rnacentral:rRNA from 1 species